AAAUUGAAGAGUUUGAUCAUGGCUCAGAUUGAACGCUGGCGGCAGGCCUAACACAUGCAAGUCGAGCGGUAGCACAGAGAGCUUGCUCUCGGGUGACGAGCGGCGGACGGGUGAGUAAUGUCUGGGAAACUGCCUGAUGGAGGGGGAUAACUACUGGAAACGGUAGCUAAUACCGCAUAACGUCGCAAGACCAAAGUGGGGGACCUUCGGGCCUCAUGCCAUCAGAUGUGCCCAGAUGGGAUUAGCUAGUAGGUGGGGUAACGGCUCACCUAGGCGACGAUCCCUAGCUGGUCUGAGAGGAUGACCAGCCACACUGGAACUGAGACACGGUCCAGACUCCUACGGGAGGCAGCAGUGGGGAAUAUUGCACAAUGGGCGCAAGCCUGAUGCAGCCAUGCCGCGUGUNUGAAGAAGGCCUUNGGGUUGUAAAGNACUUUCAGCGGGGAGGAAGGNGUAAGGUUAAUANNCNNNNNNUUGACGUUACCCGCAGAAGAAGCACCGGCUAACUCCGUGCCAGCAGCCGCGGUAAUACGGAGGGUGCAAGCGUUAAUCGGAAUUACUGGGCGUAAAGCGCACGCAGGCGGUCUGUCAAGUCGGAUGUGAAAUCCCCGGGCUNAACCUGGGAACUGCAUUCGAAACUGGCAGGCUAGAGUCUUGUAGAGGGGGGUAGAAUUCCANGUGUAGCGGUGAAAUGCGUAGAGAUCUGGAGGAAUACCGGUGGCGAAGGCGGCCCCCUGGACAAAGACUGACGCUCAGGUGCGAAAGCGUGGGGAGCAAACAGGAUUAGAUACCCUGGUAGUCCACGCCGUAAACGAUGUCGAUUUGGAGGUUGUGCCCUUGAGGCGUGGCUUCCGGAGCUAACGCGUUAAAUCGACCGCCUGGGGAGUACGGCCGCAAGGUUAAAACUCAAAUGAAUUGACGGGGGCCCGCACAAGCGGUGGAGCAUGUGGUUUAAUUCGAUGCAACGCGAAGAACCUUACCUGGUCUUGACAUCCACAGAACUUUCCAGAGAUGGAUUGGUGCCUUCGGGAACUGUGAGACAGGUGCUGCAUGGCUGUCGUCAGCUCGUGUUGUGAAAUGUUGGGUUAAGUCCCGCAACGAGCGCAACCCUUAUCCUUUGUUGCCAGCGGUCCGGCCGGGAACUCAAAGGAGACUGCCAGUGAUAAACUGGAGGAAGGUGGGGAUGACGUCAAGUCAUCAUGGCCCUUACGACCAGGGCUACACACGUGCUACAAUGGCAUAUACAAAGAGAAGCGACCUCGCGAGAGCAAGCGGACCUCAUAAAGUAUGUCGUAGUCCGGAUUGGAGUCUGCAACUCGACUCCAUGAAGUCGGAAUCGCUAGUAAUCGUAGAUCAGAAUGCUACGGUGAAUACGUUCCCGGGCCUUGUACACACCGCCCGUCACACCAUGGGAGUGGGUUGCAAAAGAAGUAGGUAGCUUAACCUUCGGGAGGGCGCUUACCACUUUGUGAUUCAUGACUGGGGUGAAGUCGUAACAAGGUAACCGUAGGGGAACCUGCGGUUGGAUCACCUCCUUA
rnacentral:rRNA from 1 species